AAUUUUGUGGUGGAGAUGAAUAUAUGGAAUUGAUGUAUAAAACCAUUAGAUUGAUUGAAUUUGGGAUGUCUAUGAAUUUUAUUAAUACGGAAUUGAAAUGCUUCUGCAAUUUGUUUCGGGUUUACGGUAGUCUAAAAAAAUUUUGCAGUCUUUCUUUAUGUUUAAAUAUCUUCCAAGGAAACUGACAGAAAAGAAGAUGGGUAUUCCUUAUCCAGUAGCGAGAUCAAGCAGUUUCAAUUGACAAUGGAGGAAGUUGAUGAGCUGCUGAAGAGCAGCACAUUUGAGCUUGGUUAUCUGGUCAACUUGCGGACCUUGCUUUGUAGGAAGUGCAAUGAAACAUUCAGAAGACUGGAGGGGAAAGAUCAGAAAUGCUUAAGCUUCAAUCAAAUGUUGUAGGAGCACUUAAAUGCAGCUCAAGACGUAAUUUCUACUUUCUGAAUUUAUAUGAAACUAUCAAAACCCUAGUAUUUUUUCCAGAAAGUGUAGAGUCAAAUGACAUUAACUUUGAAGCAUGGAUGGUGAAAUGAAAGGCAUAGCCUAUCACAACAGCAAA